UACGUAGGGUGCGAGCGUUGUCCGGAAUUACUGGGCGUAAAGAGCUCGUAGGUGGUUUGUCGCGUUGUCCGUGAAAACUCACAGCUCAACUGUGGGCGUGCGGGCGAUACGGGCAGACUGGAGUACUGCAGGGGAGACUGGAAUUCCUGGUGUAGCGGUGGAAUGCGCAGAUAUCAGGAGGAACACCGGUGGCGAAGGCGGGUCUCUGGACAGUUCCUGACACUGAGACACGAAGGCCAGGGGAGCAAACGGG
rnacentral:rRNA from 1 species